rnacentral:sRNA from 1 species
GCUCCAGCAGCUGAGAUCCCCCGUUUAUCUACAAAUACGUACAGCACAGGCAGCAGCUGUGAAAGCUUUCCCCCAUUGAGCCAAAAAUGUGCUUCAAUUCUGAUGAUCAGCAACCAUCUCCAGGAGAGGAGAAGAGAAAUCUCCAUAGCUCAGUUAGUUCUUAACUUUCU